UACGGAGGAUGCGAGCGUUAUCCGGAUUUAUUGGGUUUAAAGGGUGCGUAGGCGGGCUUUUAAGUCAGCGGUAAAAAUUCGGGGCUCAACCCCGUCCGGCCGUUGAAACUGGGGGCCUUGAGUGGGCGAGAAGAAGGCGGAAUGCGUGGUGUAGCGGUGAAAUGCAUAGAUAUCACGCAGAACCCCGAUUGCGAAGGCAGCCUUCCGGCGCCCUACUGACGCUGAGGCCCGAAAGCGUGGGGAGCAAACAGG
rnacentral:rRNA from 1 species